CAAAUAAUCGAGAAAACUAGCCAAAAACUUUCAACUUUAUGAAGUUACACCCUGAAUUAAAGCACUUGCUUCUCAAAUCUUCAGCUUGAUCACGUUUCAGAAAAAUCGAGUAUUAGAUUCGUGUUACAUAUUUGUAAGUUAUUUUCUGCAUCACUAUGAAAGUCAAUUACUUUGUUGGUGCUUAUCUUACUGUAGUAGGUAUCCUUAUCGCAGCUAAAGAACGAUGCAGUUAAAACAGCACGAAUUAUUCACGGAUAAGAAUACCUACGACCCUACGUCCAUAAUAAAUGGUUUUUAUGACGCAUAAGAAAUUAUAUGUAUUAGAAUUUGGGAGUCGUGAUUUUAGUGAGAUUGCAACGAAAUAAAUUAUUUUCAUACUCAUUUCAUUGUAAAAAGCCACACAUAUUGGUGGAUUUGUAAAUCUUGGUGCUCAACAGUCCUUCAACUUGGAUAAGCGUUAAGUUUGAAUUCGAGAAGAUUUUACGCAAUCUAAAUCCAUACAUAUGUCAAGACUACUGCCACUGAUGAUUUUCCUGGCUAUACCACUAGCCAGUUUUUCUGUCAUGAAGAAGUGGAUAUGCAACAAUGCAGAAGAUGCUGAAAACUGGUGUAAUGAGAACUGCCCAAGUAUUUGCGAAAAAAACAACAUGACUCAGCCCACCUGCCAUUCAGAUAGAAGUGGAUACCGGCUGGUGAAAGGCCCUGGCCAGAAAUGGAAGGACGCACAGAGGUAUUGGAACUGGUGCUGCCAUUGCAAUAUGGCUAAACCCCGUACCACCUUUGUCGCCCCGUCUCAUGAGUCUUGGUGAUUUCAUGAAUUUGUUCAAAAAUAUUAAAAAUAAUAUACUUCCAGACUGGCUUUAUCGUUA